rnacentral:sRNA from 12 species
CCUUUGGAGUGUUAAGACCACUUGAGUAGCUAGAAAUAGCAAAAGAGAACACGAUGAACAAGGAA